AUAAUUUCCAUCAGCAGAUAGCUGGUCCAACACAGUCUUCCAGCACUGCAAAACAGACAAUAAAUAAUGUGCCACGAGUAAUAUGCAAACACAUCUCUCCAUUCAAAGCAUUGACCCAAAGUGAAACCACAUGAAGUCCAAGCUGACGUUCCCUUUCCUAUAAUCAGUGACUGUGAGCUUGAUUUUACAGGCUUAAAAUCCUUUCCUUUAAGUGAGACACAAGCUUGCUUUAACAAAACACACUCUCCAUUCAGAAUAACUGUUUUAUCUGCCCACACAGAAUGUCUUUUUCUGUUGUAUUGAAUUGUGGGAGUAGGUGGUCUUGCAUACCUGUGAUCUCUUCUUUCAGAGGUACAAAUGCCAGCAAAUAAUACCUUGAGGACAUUUCUCCCGGGGUGAGGACCUCAAACCAAACAGACUUGUACUGAACCUUGAUUGAACCAACAACGACUCAUACGACGCAUGUUUGAUCCAAGGAAAGGGGAGAGGGGUUGAAAUCAAAAGGAAGCUGGUUGAAUUACAUGGCCUCUGGUACACAUAACCAUGUCCAUGUGUGUUUGUCUGGAGUGUGUUUUCUACAAGGGUAGCAGAGGGAAAUAAGAGCCAGGAGUGACUUAUCACUACAGGAAUGUAUAAGGAGACCCAAGGGGAUGGAUGGAGGGCUGCUAGGAGGCACAGACACAACCAGAACAUACUGCUGAGAGAAAAGACAGGAAAAGAGGGGGAAAGACUUGACAGGUCCAGGUGCCAAUUAAUUGUAAUUACAUGGAAAACAGUAACCAGAACAUCACAAUGUGUUCUAAGAAAGACAGCAUCUGUACACGUUCACUUCUUCCCAAGUUGACAGCAGAAACAAAGCAGUCGAGGAACAUGUCAAUCAAACAUCCUUCAUUCAGCAGAAGCAGCACAGAGCUAAUUGAGGCUGAACCUUAUCACUUCUCCUCUCAGGGGAAGGUUGAACAGCUGUCUGCAUCCUUAAGAAACAUCCUCCGGCUGCAAGUUCACUGUUAAUCAGACCGAUAACCGUACUGCAUUCCCUAGAGAUCUGCUGUAACACUGCUUAUUUUACAAUCUGCUCCUGUAGAAUGAGUUAGCAAAAAUACAGCUUUCCUGGAUCAAUUUUACUGAGGUGCUGAAUGCACUGAGGCCCAAAAGAGCGUGAAAAGAAGAAAAAUCAAUGGAUCAGGGAUCAGCAAGGAAGUAAUACACUGCAAAAAAUUACAUUUUAUUAAAUAAUUUUUUUGUCAUUCUUAAAGAUAAAUCUACAUGGGAAGCUAAAUUGUGUAAGAAAAUAAGACUUUUCCACAGAAUGUCUUAAGUUCAGUUUCAUUUUCUUACCGCAUUGUUCAAAAAUUGUGAAAUAGCUUUUCAGCAGCUCAAACAGCAUGAUGCCAAGGAAUCAGGAACUGAAAAAUGCAAUCCAAGUGACUUUGGAUAAAAGUGUCUGACAAAUGUAAUGUACUGUAAAUAGUUUUUUUUUUUUUUUUAACCAAGAAAUAAAGAAAACUAUCUGGCAAUGUGUUAAAGAAAAAUAAAUUUAAUUCCAGUCUGAGUGUAACAUAAGACCCGACAUAAGUGAAUUUUCUUAACACGUUAGUUGU